UCACUGGCCUUGAAGAGUCUGCCAAAGAAUUACUUCUAGCAAUGAAAAAGCGCAUUCUUCUGUUGAGCAUAGAAGGGAGGUAACUACUGAAUGCUAGAACCAAAAAUGAAAAACCAAAAAAGUCAAGAAACUGAGAACACCUGAACAAACAUAAACAAAUGAAAGUAAGAUGGCCGUUUCAUGUUGAUCUUGUCUGGAAUGUGACCAGAGUUGCGUUUAAUUUUCCUGGAAUAGGAAGCUGAGAGUUUAAGAAGUGAGUUGUUUUAAAGGUCCAUAAGAAUUACUUUAUAUAUCUGGGCACCUCAUAACACAAAAUGAAGAAGCCUACCUGUGACCUUUGUGGAAAGAUGUUCUCUCGCCGAGACAACAUGGAGAG